rnacentral:rRNA from 1 species
GAUGAACGCUGGCGGCGUGCCUAACACAUGCAAGUCGAGCGAUUUACUUCGGUAAAGAGCGGCGGACGGGUGAGUAACGCGUGGGUAACCUGCCCUGUACACACGGAUAACAUACCGAAAGGUAUGCUAAUACGAGAUAAUAUGCUUUUAUCGCAUGGUAGAAGUAUCAAAGCUUUUGCGGUACAGGAUGGACCCGCGUCUGAUUAGCUAGUUGGUGAGGUAACGGCCCACCAAGGCGACGAUCAGUAGCCGACCUGAGAGGGUGAUCGGCCACAUUGGAACUGAGACACGGUCCAAACUCCUACGGGAGGCAGCAGUGGGGAAUAUUGCACAAUGGGCGAAAGCCUGAUGCAGCAACGCCGCGUGAGCGAUGAAGGCCUUCGGGUCGUAAAGCUCUGUCCUCAAGGAAGAUAAUGACGGUACUUGAGGAGGAAGCCCCGGCUAACUACGUG